rnacentral:rRNA from 1 species
ACGCUCGACACCUACGGGAGACAGCAGUGGGGAAUAUUGCACAAUGGGGGAAACCCUGAUGCAGCGACGCCGCGUGAGGGAAGAAGGUUUUCGGAUUGUAAACCUCUGUCCUUGGUGAAGAAGGAAGACGGUAGCCAAGGAGGAAGCCACGGCUAACUACGUGCCAACAGCCGCGGUAAUCUGAGCGGGCUGGCAAGGC